rnacentral:rRNA from 1 species
UUUGAAACCCCGGGGUGAUACCCUAUUAUAUUAAGAGAAAACAAAUAAUGCUUGAGUAGUAAGCAGCUAUAAUCUUUAAACUUAAAGGAUUUGGCGGUAUCCAAGCCUAGUUAGAGGAACCUGCACUGUAAACGAUAUUCCACGAAUGAUCUUACUUCUCUUUGUUUUCAGUAUGUAUACCUCCAUUAUAAAACAAUACUCAAAAUUAGUUGUUAAAAUAGAAGGUUUUAAGAUAUUAGGUCAAGGUGCAGCUAAUAGUGAAGUAGUUGUGGGUUACAAUAUGUUAGUGAUAUACGGAUAAUAGCCAGAAUAGGGUAGUUGAAGGUGGAUUUAAUUGUAAAGUUGUUUUAAUAUGGCAGGUUGAUAGAAGUUUUAGGAUAUGUACAUAUCGCCCGCGCGGC